UGGGGGAUAUUGCACAAUGGGCGAAAGCCUGAUGCAGCGACGCCGCGUGGGGGAUGAAGGCUUUCGGGUUGUAAACCUCUUUCGCUAUCGAACAAGGCCCGCUUAGGGUGGGUUGAGGGUAGGUGGAGAAGAAGCGCCGGCUAACUACGUGCCAGCAGCCGCGGUAAUACGUAGGGCGCGAGCGUUGUCCGGAAUUAUUGGGCGUAAAGGGCUUGUAGGCGGCUUGUUGCGCCUGCUGUGAAAACGCGGGGCUUAACUUCGCGCGUGCAGUGGGUACGGGCAGGCUUGAGUGUGGUAGGGGUGACUGGAAUUCCAGGUGUAGCGGUGGAAUGCGCAGAUAUCUGGAGGAACACCGAUGGCGAAGGCGGGUCACUGGGCCAUUACUGACGCUGAGGAGCGAAAGCAUGGGUAGCGAACAGGA
rnacentral:rRNA from 1 species